GUGUUGCUUUGGCAGCGCAUAUACUAAAAGCGGAAUGAUACAGAGAAGAUUAGCAUGGCUCCUGUGCAAGGAUGACAUGCAAAUUCAUGAAGCAUUCCAUAUAUCU
rnacentral:snRNA from 1 species